GGGAAGGUAACUCAGUGGUAAAGUGCUUGCCUUGCAUGCAUGAGGCCCUGGGUUCAAUUCCUCAGCACCA
rnacentral:tRNA from 1 species